UACGGAGGAUCCAAGCGUUAUCCGGAUUUAUUGGGUUUAAAGGGUGCGUAGGCGGUUUAUUAAGUCAGUGGUGAAAGACAACAGCUCAACUGUUGCAGUGCCAUUGAUACUGAAGAGCUUGAGUACAGAUGAGGUAGGCGGAAUUUAUGGUGUAGCGGUGAAAUGCAUAGAUACCAUAAAGAACACCUAUUGCGAAGGCAGCUUACUAAGCUGUAACUGACGCUGAGGCACGAAAGUGUGGGGAUCAAACAGG
rnacentral:rRNA from 1 species